UUUACUUCAAAUGUUUGAGUAAUAAAUAAAAUAUUCAGCUAAUUAAGUUCAGAAAAAAUAAGGCUAUGUUUUCUUUAUUUUUUCUAUUGCUUAUUACUUAUUCUUCUUACAAUCAUACCACAUCAAUAAAUAUUUAGACCAGAUUAUAAAAAAUAAAAACCAAUCACCGAAAACAUAAAUCAGUAAGUUUUGUGUCAGACCGCCUGACGGCCACGCGCCUGUCAGACGGCCCAUUCGCCCACGCGCGCGUGCGUUUACGCGCACAAUAAAACCCUUCUAAUUUCUCUCUCCUGCUCGUUUCUGCUCUCUCUCCCCUCUCGUCGCUCAUCUCCUCCCCUCGUCUCUCCCCUCUCUACUGCUGAUGCGAUCCUCUCUCUCCUCUCUUCGCCCUUCUCUCUCGCCGGAGACGACCAUUACCAUGCCGACAAUUUCCGAGGAGCUCCUCCUUACAGUUCUUCGUUGUCCCUCCUAGCGCCUUGAGAUUUCAGUCGGUGAUCUCGACGGAAUAAUCAAGGCGGUGGAGGCUGAGUGGCGAAGGACGGAGGAGAGACGUGGGGAGCAGAGGCGGCGGUUCGCAUCCUCGCAAAGUUGCGCUGGUGGUCGAUGCUGUUGUUAAUGGCCUCCUCGCAAAGUUGCGCGGUUGUGGCUGGUUCACGACACCGGUUAUGGUAGCAGCGCUGGUGUUUCUUCAGUAUGGGGUGGUGUUAGCUUGUCGAGGCCGCGCUGUGGUGUUAGCUGGCUGUGAUUUUGUUUUUAGCUUUGUAUUUUUUUAUUUUACCUGCUUUUUUUGUUGAUAAAGAGGACAAAGCCCCAGUUUCUUUUAUCUGGUUGGUGUUGUAAUUUCGAUUUAGUUAUCAAUUCAAUUAGUUAAAAAUUAUACUU